rnacentral:tRNA from 1 species
GUAGUUGUGGCCAAGUGGUUAAGGCGAUGGACUUGAAAUCUAUUGCGGGUCUCCCCCCGCAGGUUCAAAUCCUGCCGACUACA